GAUGAACGCUGGCGGCGUGCCUAAUACAUGCAAGUCGAGCGAACAGACGAGGAGCUUGCUCCUCUGACGUUAGCGGCGGACGGGUGAGUAACACGUGGAUAACCUACCUAUAAGACUGGGAUAACUUCGGGAAACCGGAGCUAAUACCGGAUAAUAUAUUGAACCGCAUGGUUCAAUAGUGAAAGACGGUUUUGCUGUCACUUAUAGAUGGAUCCGCGCCGCAUUAGCUAGUUGGUAAGGUAACGGCUUACCAAGGCAACGAUGCGUAGCCGAACUGAGAGGGUGAUCGGCCACACUAGAAGUGAGACGCGGUCCAGACUCCUACGAGAGGCAGCAGUAGGGUAUCUUCCGCAGUAGGCGAGAGCCUGACAGAGCAACGCCACGUGUGUGAUGAAGAUCUUCGGAUCGUAAAACUCUGUUAUUAGGUAUGAACAAAUGUGUAAGUAACUAUGCACGUCUUGACGGUACCUAAUCAGAAAGCCACGGCUAACUACGUG
rnacentral:rRNA from 1 species